AGCUGGGAGGAAGAUCUGUCUCUGCUCUGCAGCUUCACGCUGACGCAGCUCUGCUCCUCCGAUGGCAUCACCACGCAUUCUGGCAGCAAACAGACGGGUCAGGAGGUUCUGGUCAGGAGGUUCUGGUACGGGUCAGGAGG